CUCGCCUCCUUCUCCCCCUCCCGCGCCCGCCUCUCUCUCUCCCUCUCGCGCCCCUCCCUGCCCCGCCGCCGCCGUCGCCGCUCCCCGCACUCGCUCCUCCUCCCCCCGCAUCUCCCUCCCUCCCACGCAACCGCCUCUCUCCCUCGCUCGCUCCUCAUCUGGCGACGGCGGCGGCGGCUCCGGCGCCCGCGUUCUUCCUCCCACCAACCACGGCGCUCCUCCCCAUCGCCAUGGACGAGCUUGAGCUCCAGGUGCUCCUUCCCUGCCCAGAAGCCCAAGGGCGUUGCGGGGCGGCAAGGGGCUCAGCCUCAACCCGCCAACCCUAGCUGCCCCCACGCCGCCGCCGGCUCCUUCUCCCGGCCUGCCGGAUCCCGUCAUCCGCAUCCCUGGCGUCGUCGUCGUCGCCGUCGUCCUCGCGUGCACUCGGCAGGAGAAGCGGAGCACGAGUCGAGGUGUGCCACCCCCGAUUCUGCAGUGCGCCCGACGGCUGCUUCUGCAGCAGCAGCGGUGGCAAGCCUUGGACUGGCUCGGGACACCAGAAGCGGGCAAUGAAGGCCAUUGCCAUGUUGGUAUUGUUCCAGACAUCGAAGAUUUUUGAUAUGUGAAGGCCGAGGCAAAAAUGUCAGUAACUACAAAGAGGGUACCAGCAUCAUCAAAUAAGAACAGUUCACCAGGAAAGAAGGUUUAUAGUUCUUAUAUCAACAAUGAUGUCAAGCCAGACAAUUAAGUUACACAUGGCACAAAGCUGAGCCUGCGCUGCGGCUACUGCCUGAUGACGAUGACAAUCUGAUCGAGUAGAUCAAUCAUGAGUUUUAUCAUACUUUGAGCCAAAUCUUCGCGCCUUUUUUCUUUUAUUUGGUUAUACUGUGUAAUUAGGAAUCAAUAAUAAAAGUAGAUGGUACAAAGUUGUGCUCCCUAGCUUUUUUUCCAUUGGUCUUGCUAAGCAAGUUAAUGUAUAUCUUCAUUUAUAUAGCAUCUCCAGUGUUCCAUUAUGUUCAGCUAUGUAUGUUCACUUGGUCCCUUAGUUACUUCCUGGGCCCUCUUUGCUCGCCUUACUCCCAUCUAAUUUUAGAAUUAACUUUAAUGAUAUUGAUAGGUUAAGGUCAUUCAUCAUGAGAGGUGUUGAUGUGGAGUCCCAUGUGUACCUACUGUUGCCCCAUCAAUUAUGUAGUGGCCUCUUUCUGAACAUUGUUUGGUUCCAACGAAGAUCUAUUAGUAGUGCUGAACCGAUUUUAAAAACAACAACAUUGGUCAGUUUCUUAAUUUCGUGUACUGUUUUCACUUUAGGACCAGAAAACUGAACCUCGACAUAAUGACAUACUCCACCGGCUUAAACUUUCCUCUACACACAGUACCUUCUCAUUCAUCAUGUGCACGUUAAUGCUCUCUUCUUAUAUUAUUCAUGAUUACUUUGCUUGCUACUAGCAUGGUACAUGACAUUACAAUCUUAGCAGAGGCUUGUGCAACAAACCUGGCCUGUGUGUAAUAGACUUUUUAUAUUAUUUUAUUCUCCAAUUUUGCCAGCUAAGGAUUUAAUUAUACUGCAUAUCAUGUUGCACAAGGUAUCUUUACAAAUGGGUUCAGUUCCAACUCGAUAGAUGUAUGAGUAUCAGAUCUUAAAUUGCUUGUCUUGGAAACUGUUUUCUCAUCUACUUUCAGAGAUCAAGCCUGACAAAAUCUACACUGGUUCACCUUAAUUACAUGCUGGGUUCAGCAUAAUGGCUAAGGGGAGACGAGGUGGAAAUUUAGCAUUUUAGUAUAGGACUGAUUUCCUGCAAAAAAAUAGUAUAGGGUUGUGAAGAUAUUCACGAAAAGAAGUACUCCCUCUCAUCCGAAUUAAAUGAUGCAGCCUCUAUACAAUGUCUAUAUGUUCCUCGAUUUUAUUAGAUGCAUAUAUGUGGACAUCUCCUUUUUUGCCAGAUUGCUAUUUGAAGUUUACAACCUUAUAGAUUGCUCUAUAUAUGGCAGUAAAUAGUUUGUAUUUUAGCGCCUUAGUUGUGAAUUUGUUAUAGAAGUAUUCUAACUGAUAUUCUAACGUCAUCAUGUAGAAUGGACAUGAUCUCGCCCAUUGGGAAUUGCAUGCUGCAGUAAAGCAAUUUGGUCAACCAUAUUCAGCGUUCGGCGGAGUCCUUGGUCAUUUCUUUGAGGAGCAGCUCCUUCUCAGGUGAUUUCUUCUACCUUUUCUACUAUUGAUUUAACAGCUAAUGCAUUGUUGCUGGUUUCUGUUCUUACCCGCUAAUCUACACCAUGAGCAUGUCCCACUACUGAUUUGACAAUUCAUGCAUUACUGGUUUUCUUUCUUGCCUGCUACUGUUCACUGUACUCUGGCAUCCAACGCAUCAUCCACUCAUACAUAGAUGGGUUAUGUUUGUACUUGAUAGCAGCAGACUAAAUUGCCAAAAGAUGUGUGGGAUGAGUUCACUUUCAGUUAACAUGUGAUCUCAAAGUUUCAGGUUCGUCAGUCAGUGUUGUAGGUGUUAGAAUUCAGUUUCAUCAGUUAGAAUUUUCUUCAGUUAGUGAAGUAAGCCAACCUGCGAUUUGGUCUUAGGUUGUUAGCGUACCCCGUCGCUUUGAUCGGUUUUUGGGAUGACACGAUUGUCUCAUGAUCCCUUUCGCAUGUCGGUGUUGUGUGUGUGUUUACUUAGUUUCUUGUGAUACAAACUGGUCAUGACAACCACUUUAUAUAUGUAUCUACAACAUUAUACCUGAUCGUGGCAAGAUCCAUCGAUUUGGCAAUUUUCUACAACCAAUUCACAGCCACCGAAUCACACAAAAUUAAAUAUACAUCCAAUAUUCAGUAUCAUAUAUCCAUGGACUACAUCAGAUUGGGGGAAAACCAUGUACAUAGUUGCAACAACCAAAACAAACUAUGCUUGGACGCCAUGAACUACACCCAGGACUCACAGACACAUGGCUAGGAAAUGAGCUUACACAAUCAGGAACAUCACAAUGCCAAGGCAAAGUGCCACCACGGAUCAUACAUGCUCCAAGAGAAGCCAACACAUGAGGUAAAGCGUACAGAUGUACUGCAUCAGCAACAUUUUCUGCUACUCUGCUUCAGGUAGCAACGUUCAGUCAUGCAAGCACCAUUGGACAUUCAGUUAGAAACAGGGCAUUGCAACAUUCAGUGUGCAAGCAGCCCCUUUGAUGCAAGGUUGCCAUUACAUCGAGCAGCGUCGAGGCCACUAGGUCGCCGUUGCAUGGGCAGUGCUGAAGCAGUUCGUCAGGUCGGGCUCAGAUUAGAGCAGCGCCGCAUCCAUUGGGCCGUCCUCGCGUCGGGGUAGCGCUGAGGCCACCGGAUCGCCAACAGGUGCAGCAGUGGCGUGGUCACCGGGUCGCCGCCAGAUAGGACAACACCGAGGCUGCAAGGUUGUCUUUCCCGUCAAGUGGCCCCGACGGCGCCGGCUCGCCGUUGCAUCAGGGCAGUGUGGUCGCCAGUCGCGUGGGGAGUGGGGACGGGCCAGGUCUCCAUCGCGUGGGGGCAGUGCCGCUGGCAGCCUGACGCGGUCGCGUGGUGGAGCACCGCGAACGCCGCCGCAGCCCGGACGGCGUCGCAUGGUGGAGAAGAUGGCCGGGUGUUAUUGUUAUGGUUAUGUCUAUGGACACGUUUGCUACGGCUCUGUUACAUAUGUUUUACCACCUUCACUGCUACAGGUGUUCUCUUCAAGAGAUGCUUGCACACCUUGUUUGGGUGGCGAGGUUGGAGUCUCAUGGCGAGUCUGAGGAUUUUAUUCCUAUCCGAGUAGUCGUAGGUAUUUAUAGUUGUAUCAGAAAACACCUACCAAGUACUUCUAGGCGUUGCAAGUUUUUUGUAGCAAUGCGACAAUGAUCUUAUUCAUAAACAGUGGUGUUGAUGAUCAAGUCUUGGGUGACUUACAUUAACUAAUUUAUAGAACCAAGUACUUUAUUUUGCCCGGUACAUCAUAUAUGCGCUUUGUACUCUUUUUUCCCCAUUAUGCUAUGUAAGAUUAGCUUACAUCAGUCGGUGUUUGGAUGAAUGAGUUGUAUCAGUGAUGUAAAGUCGCUUAAUGUAUAAUUAACAUGACUUCUUGUGCACAUAUAAGCUUUGUUGUGGAUACCA